UACUCUGGGGAUAACAGGCUUAUCGGGCUCGAGAGUUCACAUCGACAGCCCGGUUUGGCACCUCAACAACAUGGGGUGGUCCGGAAGUAAUUCCGGACAUGCAUUGGCUAAUAACGGUGGAGCCCAAUAGAAAUUCGGGUAAUACCGUGGGAAGUCUUAAAAAGCAUAAGCAGUUAUUCAAUGGUCUUUUCUCUUGGUAACAAAUAUUAGGCAAAUAAGGCUGAUAACUUAACCUUCAAUCUACAUCUAUAUGAAUGCGGUUAAUGUUAUUAAGUGUAUGGUUGUCGACUAUUUCGUUGCCUCGAGAAACCAUGUUUUUUAAGACCCCGUAACGACUGAUUGUGUCGCGCAAGCGACAUCCCGGCCUUUCCAAUAGGCCGUGGGUGUGGACAUUCUAUCCGGAUGUCAUUAACACACAUGAGAUAGCGACCAGCAGUUUCGGUCCUAUAAUACGCCAACUCCGCUAUAAUUGCAGCGGAUGAAGAUAUAGUCUAAUCCCACUCGAAAGGGUGGAUACGAUUGCGAUGUCGGCUCAUCCUAUCCUGGGGCUGGAUAAGGUCCCAAGGGUCCGGCUGUUCGCCGGUUAAAAGGGUACGCGAGCUGGGUUCAGAACGUCGUGAGACAGUUCGGUCUCUAUCUGGUGUGGGCGUUAGGAUAUUUGAAGGGGAGUUCUCCACAGUACGAGAGGACCUGGAGAAACGGACCUCUGGUGUUCCGGUUGUCCUGCCAAGGGCAAAGGCCGGGUAGUUAUGUCCGUAAGGGAUAAGCGCUGAAAGCAUCUAAGUGCCAAGCCCCCCCCAAGACUAGAUAUCCCUGGACCGUAAGGUCCUGAAGGCACCCUGUAGACUAUGGGGUUGAUAGGCACGAUGUGUAAGAUCCGUAAGGAUUUAAGCUAACGUGUACUAAUUGCCAAUCGGCUUGGUCUU
rnacentral:rRNA from 1 species